CGGGAAACCGGAGCUAAUACCGAUAAUAUUUCGAACCGCAUGGUUCGAUAGUGAAAGGUGGUUUUGCUGUCACUUAUAGAUGGACCCGCGCCGUAUUAGCUAGUUGGUAAGGUAACGGCUUACCGAGGCGACGAUACGUAGCCGACCUGAGAGGGUGAUCGGCCACACUGGAACUGAGACACGGUCCAGACUCCUACGGGAGGCAGCAGGC
rnacentral:rRNA from 1 species